rnacentral:misc_RNA from 1 species
AUUAGUAUAGGUCCAUGAUAGGUAUAUGUUACAAAUAUUAGGUAAAAGAAAGGGAUGGAGCAACAUUUUUCAAAUGGGAAAGCUUAAUAAUAAGUUUGAUGUUACAUAUCAGGUAGGUUCUAGCUAGUACAGGUUAGCAGGAAGGCGAGGAGUAAGAACAACUUCCACCGGGGUGACCUUGGCGUUGGUUAAACCAGCUGACUCACUCAUAUCAAUAGGACUGUCUGACGAAGUUUCAAUUUCAAAUGCAUGUAGCAGAGUUGCCAGCGUCAGGUUCAAAAUUUGAAGAGCAAAUGAGAUUCCAGGGCAAAUUCUCCUUCCACUGCCAAAUGGUAUCAAUUCGAAGUUUUGACCUUUGAAAUCAACGUCCUUAUUGGUGGUAAGAAAUCUCUCUGGUUGAAAUUUCUCAGGGUCCAACCACACGCUUGGGUCUUUCUGAAUUUUUGAAGCAUUUACGAUUACGCGUGUCUCUGGUGGAAUAUGGUAGCCAUCUACAACACACUCUUCCAUGGAUUCAUGUGGCACUAAUAGUGGUGCAGCAGGAUAUAAUCUGAAGGUUUCCUUGAUAAUAGCUUGGAGAUAAAUCAAAUUCUGUGUGUCGGACUCCUUCACUUGCCUUUCUCGACCAACAUGAACGUCUAAUUCAUUUUGGGCCCUCUUCAAGACAUCAGGAUUAUUUAGUAGUAAAGACAAAGCCCAAGUCAUUGUAAUUGUUGUGGUGUCCGAGGCUGCUAAAAUAAGACUCAGGCACGUAGCUUUGUUGAUAGUGUCAACAUCUUGUCUGUAAAGCUCUUUUGCGUCAUUCAGAAUGGACAACAGAGCCCCCAUGAAAUCUUCCUCUCCCUUUGCUAUGGUGGUUCCUUUCUUCUGCUUGCGUUCUUCUAACCACUGUACAACAACAUGGUCUAGGCUUUUGAGGGUCUUCUUCAUCUUCCUCUCGACUCCCCCCAAAUCCAACCACCUUAAAUAUGGAAGCGCAUCUGAUACCGCAAAUUCCCCUGACAAAUCCAUAAAUUCCCUCAGAGCAUCUCGCCAUACGUCACUCUCUUGACUCUCGCUACUAUUUGUAUACUCCACAUAUCGCUUCCCUACAAUUAUCUUUAAUAUCACAUUUAAAGUUAUGUCCCAAAACCAUCUCUUCAUAUCUACCGUAAGCUUAUCGAAAUUACUUUUGUUCUUGAUCCAUUCCUGAUAUAACCCUUUUAUGGCAGCUUUCACCUCAGCUUCCCUCACAUGCUUUAGCAUCUCAAGCCGAUGAUUGGACAGAAGCUCAAGAGUGACUAUCUUACGAAUUUGGCGCCAGUAUUCUCCGUAAGGACUGAAGCCAAGCAUGGAAUAAUCGUAGCCUAAGAUUUCCAUGGCAAGUGCCUUUGGACGAUUUGCCAAAGCUUUGUCAUUGGUAGUGAAACAUUCCUUAGCAAUCUGCCAAUUACUUAUGACCACUGUUCGAUGGACGCCAAUCUUGAUGGUGAAAA